rnacentral:rRNA from 1 species
ACUCCUACGGGAGGCAGCAGUGGGGAAUAUUGCACAAUGGGCGCAAGCCUGAUGCAGCCAUGCCGCGUGUAUGAAGAAGGCCUUCGGGUUGUAAAGUACUUUCAGCAGUGAGGAAGGUGGAUAUGUUAAUAGCAUAUUCAUUUGACGUUAGCUGCAGAAGAAGCACCGGCUAACUCCGUGCCAGCAGCCGCGGUAAUACGGAGGGUGCGAGCGUUAAUCGGAAUUACGUGGCGUAAAGCGCAUGCAGGUGGUUUGUUAAGUCAGAUGUGAAAGCCCGGGGCUCAACCUCGGAAUUGCAUUUGAAACUGGACAACUAGAGUACUGGUAGAGGGGGUAGAAUUUCAGGUGUAGCGGUGAAAUGCGUAGAGAUCUGAAGGAAGUACCGGUGGCGAACGGCGGCCCCCGUGGACAGAUACUGACACUCAGAUGCGAAAGCGUGGGAGCAAACGAGGAUUAGAUA